AUCCCAUGAUGAGGACAUUUACGAGGUAACUCCUUGAAUCACUCCCAAGCCUCAUACAAAGACUUGCCACCCAAUUGUUGGAAAGUUGUGAUCUCGUUCCUCAAAUU
rfam:Gossypium hirsutum cultivar TM-1 chromosome 16, whole genome shotgun sequence